rnacentral:rRNA from 1 species
ACUUUUAAUAAUAGAUCUCUUGGUUCUAGUAUUAAUAAAGAACGCAGCGAAAUGCGAUAAGUAGUGUGAAUUACAGAAUUUAGUAAAUUAUUAAAUCUUUAAACGCAUAUUGCGCCCCUUAGUAUUCUAUAGGGUAUGCCUGUUUAAGCGUUAUUUGUACCCUUAAGCUCUGCUUAGUAUUAGGUGUUUGUUCUACUUAGGACUUGCCUUAAAAUAAUUAGUAGCUAGCAUAUUAGCCUAGAGCGCAGCACAUUUUGCGCCUCUUAUUAUGGUUAUUAGUAUUUAUUAAGACACUUUUUAAGCUCUUAACCUUAGAUUAGGUAGGGAUACCUGCUAAACUUAAGCAUAUUAAUAAGCGGAGGAAAAGAAACUAAUAGGGAUUGCCCUAGUAACGGCGAGUGAAGCGGUAAUAGCUUAAAUUUAAAAUCUAGCUCUUUUAAGGUCUAAGUUGUAAUUUAUAGAGGGCGCUUUAGCGUUAGUAGUAGUCUAAGUUCCUUAGAAUAGGACGUUACAGAGGGUAAGAAUCCUAUACGUAGUUACUAGCCUUCGCCGUGUAAAGCCCCUUUAACAAGUUAAGUUAUUUAGGAAUGCAGCUCUAAAUAGGAGGUAAAUUUCUUCUAAAGCUAAAUACUAGCUAGAGACUAAUAGCGCACAAGUAGAGUAAUUAAAAGAUAAAAAGCACUUUAGAAAGAGAGUUAAAUAGCACGUGAAAUUGUUAAAAGGGAAGCGCUUGCAGCUAGACUUGCCUAUAGUUACUUAUCUAGGCUUUUGUCUAGUGCACUCUUCUAUAGGCAGGCUAGUAUUAGUUUAGGCAGUUAGAUAAAGGUCUCUAUUACGUACCUCCCUUUAGGGAGGCCUUAUAGGGGAGACGACAUGCAACUAGCCUAGACUAAGGUCCGCGUAUCUACUAGGAUGCUAGCGUAAUAGCUAUAAGCGGCCUAUCUUAAAACAUAGACUAAGGAGUCUAAUAUCUAUGUAAGUAUUUAGGUGUUAAGCCUAGACGCGUAAUAAAAGUAAACAGAGGUAGGAACCCUUUUAGGGUGCACUAUUAACUAAUCCUAAUAUCUUUAGAAGGAUUUAAGUAAGAGCAUAGCUAUUAGGACCUAAAAGAUAGUGAACUAUGCUUAAAUAGGGUGAAGCUAGAGGAAACUCUAGUGGAGGCUCGCAGCAGUUCUAACGUGCAAAUUAAUUAUUAAAUUUAGGCAUAGGGGCGAAAGACUAAUUAAACUAUCUAGUAGCUAGUUCCUACUAAAGUUUCCCUUAGGAUAGUAGUAACGUAUUUAGUUUUAUAAGGUAAAGCAAAUAAUUAGAGGCCUAGGGGUUAAAAUAACCUUUACCUAUUCUUAAACUUUAAAUAUGUAAGAAGUCCUUAUUACUUAAUUAAACGUGGACACUUAAAUGUACUAUUACUAGUAGGCUAUUUUUAGUAAGUAGAACUAGCGAUGCAGGAUAAACUAAAUGCAGGGUUAAGGUGCUAGAAUGCACGCUUAUUAGACACUACAAAAGGUGUUAGUUUAUCUAGAUAGUAGGAUAGUAGCUAUAGAAGUUAGAAUCUACUAAGGAGUGUGUAAUAACUUACCUACUAAAUAAACUAGCCCUAAAAAUAGAUAGCGCUUAAGCGUGUUACCUAUACCCUGCCGCUAGGGCAAGAUUUAAGCCCUAGCAAGUAGGCAGGCGUAGAGGCUCGUGACAAAGCCUUAGGGGUAACCCUAGGUAGAACGGCCUCUAGUGCAGAUCUUAGUAGUAGUAGCAAAUACUUAAAUAAGAACUUUAAGGACUAAAGUAGGGAAAGGUUCUGUGUAAAUAGCAGUUAGACACAGGUUAGUUAAUCCUAAGAGAUAGGGUAAUUCUAUUUUAAUAUUAGUGCUUGCGCCACACCCUUAAAAGGGAAGCUAGUUAAUAUUCUAGCACCUAGAUGUAGAUUCUCCGCGGCAACGCAACUAAGAGCGGAGACCUUGGCAGGAGCCCUAAGAAGAGUUCUCUUUUCUUCUUAAUAGUCUGUUACCCUAAAAUUAGUUUGUCUAGAGCUAGGGUUUAAUAGCUAGAAGAGUGCUGCACUUUUGUAGCAUUUAGUGCGCUCCUAACAAGCCUUAAAAAUCUACUUAAAGAAAUAGUUUUUACGCUAGGUUGUACUUAUAACUGCAGCAGGUCUCUAAGGUAAAAAGCCUCUAGUUAAUAGAACAAUAUAGAUAAGGGAAGUUAGCAAAAUAGAUCUAUAACUUUAGGAAAAGGAUUAGCUCUAAGGGUUAGGUACGUUAGGCCUUAGGGAGAAGCCUCUAGCGCAGAAGGGCACUAACCGCAAGGUAGGCGCCUCUUAGCGCUAGGGUGCAGACACCCUUAGCAGGUUUUAGCUAUCUAGCGUACGUUUAACAACUAACUUAGAACUAGUAUAGAUAAGGGGAAUCUAACUAUCUAAUUAAAAUAUAGUAUUGCAAUAGCUAGAAAGUAGUGUUAAUAUAAUAUGAUUUCUGCCUAGUGCUCUAAAUAUUAAAGCAAAGAGAUUUAACCAAGCGCGGGUAAAUAGUAGGAGUAACUAUAACUCUCUUAAGGUAGCUAAAUGCCUUGUUAUCUAAUUAGUAACGCGCAUAAAUGGAUUAAUAAGAUUCCUACUAUCCCUAUCUACUAUCUAGCAAAACUACAGCUAAGGGAACAGGCUUAGCUAAAUUAGCGGGGAAAGAAGACCCUAUUAAGCUUGACUCUAGUUUAAUAUUAUAAAAAGACAUAGGGGGUGUAGAAUAGGUAGGAGCUUUGGCGCUAGUAAAAUACUACUACCCUUAUUAUUUUUUUACUUAUUUAAUAAAGCAGAGCUAGGCCUUACUACCUAACUUCUAGCGUUUAAGGUCCUUUAUAGGCUAAUCUAGGUUAAAGAUAUUAUUAGGUAGGGAGUUUAGCUAGGGCGGCACAUCUAUUAAACUAUAACGCAGGUGUCCUAAGGGGGACUUAUAGAGAAUAGAAAUCUCUAGUAGAGUAAAAGGGUAAAAGUCCCCUUAAUUUUGAUUUUUAGUGUGAAUACAAACUAUAAAAGUGUAGCCUAUUAAUUCUUUAGUCCCUUAAAAUUUAAGGCUAGAGGUGCUAGAAAAGUUACUAUAGGGAUAACUAGCUUGUGGCAGCCAAGCGUUUAUAGCGAUGUUGCUUUUUAAUCCUUUAAUAUUAGCUCUUCCUAUUAUACUAAAGCAGAAUUUAGUAAGCGUUGGAUUGUUUACCUACUAAUAGGGAACGUAAGCUAGGUUUAGACUGUUGUAAGAUAGGUUAGUUUUACCCUACUAAUAACCUUGCCCUAAUAGUAAUACUGCUUAGUACGAGAGGAACCGCGGUUUUAGAUAAUUAGUUUUUGCGGCUGUCUAACUAGGUAUUGCUAUAAAGCUACUAUCUGCUAGAUUAUAGCUAAACGCCUCUAAGUU